UCUCGCUACGGCCCACGAGUGCCCGUCGUCGCCCUACGCUCGGGCCCUACGCUCCCGGCCACUCGGCCCUACGCUCGGGCCCAGCCCCUAUUCUAUCUCCACCUCCCGCUCCUUGAGGGCGGUUCAAAGGAGCAGGGGGUAGGGAAGAACCGAGAGAGGAGGGGAGGGAGAGAAGGAAACGAAGCCAAGGAAGAAUGGAGGAGGCGCUGGAGGAGACCGAGGGGGAACGUGAGAGAAAGGAUGAAAGGAUAGGGGUUUUUGGAGAGGAAAAAGCGCGCUCCGGUUCCGCUUUCGGGGAGGAUCACCGGCCAUAGUUUCCGACCGUCCAUCGCCUCGCCUCGACCGAAGACCAUCCGGCCCUGUAAUCCGCCCGGACCGAGACCAAGUUGCCACGAAAUCAAGCCCCUAACUGUGGUGAAGAGUCGAGCGCAGCCUCAUCCUCCGCCGACUUCGCCGAUCCUGUGCCCUUCCCGAACCAGUUUUGUGGCAUAUACGUCAUUCUUUCCCGAGUCGACCGCAGAUAAAUCUUCCACCGGAACGCCCUUCCUUUGCCGGAGUGAUGUGCCCGCGGUUUGAGGCCGCUCCUGUCAGUUUUCUAUCUCUGUUUCAUGUGGGUGUAAGCUCGUUUGUUUAGACUUAGUAUCUGUUGUUGUGGCCAUAAGUUGAUAGCCGGAAAAUAGAAAUAGUCACCGGCGUUGAAGACAA